GAUGAACGCUGGCGGCGUGCCUAAUACAUGCAAGUCGAGCGAACGGACGAGAAGCUUGCUUCUCUGAUGUUAGCGGCGGACGGGUGAGUAACACGUGGAUAACCUACCUAUAAGACUGGGAUAACUUCGGGAAACCGGAGCUAAUUCCGGAUAAUAUUUUGAACCGCAUGGUUCAAAAGUGAAAGACGGUCUUGCUGUCACUUAUAGAUGGAUCCGCGCUGCAUUAGCUAGUUGGUAAGGUAACGGCUUACCAAGGCAACGAUGCAUAGCCGACCUGAGAGGGUGAUCGGCCACACUGGAACUGAGACACGGUCCAGACUCCUACGGGAGGCAGCAGUAGGGAAUCUUCCGCAAUGGGCGAAAGCCCGACGGAGCAACGCCGCGUGAGUGAUGAAGGUCUUCGGAUCGUAAAACUCUGUUAUUAGGGAAGAACAUAUGUGUAAGUAACUGUGCACAUCUUGACGGUACCUAAUCAGAAAGCCACGGCUAACUACGUG
rnacentral:rRNA from 1 species